CUUGCAGUGAUUCCUCAUCAUGUAUGUGCUCCUACAGACGACACAGAAAGUAAACUAAAUAGCAAUUUGUGUCACAGCCACAGCUUAAGGCUGUGGACUGUGGUAGUGCUUCCUGUUCUCUCUCUCCUAGGUGUGUUCUUGGUGAAGCUAGCAGCAGGUGUGCUGCAUUGUAAUCAGCAGAUGAGCUGCAGGUGGAGCUGAAUGAUUGGUCUCUGAACGUCUCUAUAAAAGCAGAUGGCAGCCGUCAUUUGAAGCUGGACUGUCGUCUAAUCUCCAGUUAGUGCUGGGAGUAGAACUGUCUUUGCCACCAGUCUAGAAUUACCAGUAAUUCUGUUUUCUGUGUUCAGCAAGCUGAUUCCUGCCUGCUGAGUUGCCUGGGUUCCUUCAUCUGCUGGUUUCUGCCCUACCACAGAUUCUGCCUUCUUCUCUGGAGGAUCUCCACCUGUCGCCAGCUUAAUCUGGGAACAUCAACGUACACCUGGAAAGAGGACUUUCUCUGGGAACAUCUGCCACGACCGGGUUCUACAGACACAACCUUACCAAGCACAUGGUGAACACCUGGAGGGAGAGUUCUGGAUGAAGCCAAACCAAAAGGACUGUUCUCAACUCAUCAUUCCUGCUCCUGAGCCUUUUGAACCUGCCAUAACAAUUUGCUGUGAAUGCAUUCUUGUUACAAAGCAAAAAAAUAUUCCAGCCUUUUCUGUGGGACGUUUGCUGCAGCCAGAUAACAUUUCAGGCCAGAAUUGGAUAUUUUCUGCUCCUGAAGGUGCAUAUGUUCGUGUGUGUGACUGGAUUUGCUACCGCCGUGAGGUAGAACUGUGCUCCAGACAAACCUUCUCCCUCGGGAUCCAACCUGAUAAACACAGUGAUUCACUGAGAGGUUAAUGAGCACUAAAUUAGCAGAUUAAAUCUGGCUAAUGCAGGGAUGUCAAUGAUGAUCGCUUCUUGAGUCAAACAUGACGGUAUAAACCGCCUGUUUUACUGUGCAACUAUGAAUUCAUCUGUUCCUGAACCCUCACAGUUGAAUGGUGUGUUUUCAUCCAUUCUCGUCUCUAAGCGGUUUCUCCCUGCAUUCUAAUGAAAACGGUCCAUUUUCAUUAUGACUCCUGAGUCUCCUCGGUCUUUGGAGUGUGCAGGAACUUGCCUGGGGUGAAGAAGAGUGAGAGCACUAAUGUAGGCGGCGUGGACAUCGACCUACUCUGUCUUUUAUGAGCUACACCUCCCUCAUCGCUCCUUCCUAGUGUCCUUUAGGCAUUUCGUUGUGCAGCAAGAAACUAAAACAUAAAUGCAACACCAAAACAGAUAUGAGAAAUAAAAAAAGAGGAAGGCGUCUGAGAGCUCACGGGCUGAUUGAUAUUCUGUAUUAGUUCCAGCAGACACACCCAGACAGGCAGCCAGGGGCACAAGAGAGUGAGAGACAGAGCAGAUUAAACUGAUAAAAUUGUCUCCUCUCUGCAGUGGGUCUCUCCUGAUAAAGAAGACUUAGCCAAGCCAGACUAACAGAGACCACAAUGGAGAGGUUGGGCUGCACACAGUGACCCUCUUGGUUUUGACACAUGGGGCCUCUGGGUGACUCAGUGCUUUUGUGCAGCCACAGGAGAGCCUCCAUGCCAGGCCUGCAGACCUGUGGGAACUCUGUAAUCCACUGCACCGCUGCUAAUAAGGUGCUAAAGCACAUGGACAGCUAUUUUUGGCUGCAUUAUCUAUUGUUGUUCCUUCUUUUAGUAAAAAAAAAAAAAUCCACUUAUUUCUUGUCAAAAAGGCUGAUUUUAAUUAUUCCACUUGGUAACUGACUGCUUGUUUGGACAGCCAGGCUAACAGAUUAAAUCAGGGUGUCAAACAUGCGGCACCCCAAAACCGGCCCUCCAGAGGGUCCAAUCCGGCCCGCAGGAUGACUUUGUAGAGUGUAAAAAUUACAGAGAUGACAUUAACUGCAGAUUG